GGAGAGGUACCCAAGUGGCUGAAGGGUCCGGCUUCGAAUACCGGUAGGGCGGUAAUACCGUCGCGGGGGUUCAAAUCCCCCUCUCUCCGCCA
rnacentral:tRNA from 1 species